UACGUAGGGUCCAAGCGUUGUCCGGAAUUAUUGGGCGUAAAGAGCUCGUAGGCGGUUUGUCGCGUCUGCUGUGAAAACUCAGGGCUUAACCCUGAGCUUGCAGUGGGUACGGGCAGACUAGAGUGCGGUAGGGGUGACUGGAAUUCCUGGUGUAGCGGUGGAAUGCGCAGAUAUCAGGAGGAACACCGAUGGCGAAGGCAGGUCACUGGGCCGCAACUGACGCUGGAGGAGCGAAAGCAUGGGGGAGC
rnacentral:rRNA from 1 species